CAGAAAUGAGCGGAGCACAGGUAUAUCGCUUGUCCUCUCUGGGCUCUGCGAGGCAGGAAGCAGCCGGCAGGCCACAGAUCAUUUGCAGCAGCCUCUCCUUCAACUGAGCGGAAAACUGGCUUUGGAAGCUCCUGGGACAUGUGACGGCUGGAGGAGAUGGGAAAGCAAGUUUGCUGUACCCAAGACCAUCCAGCUGGGAAGCUGGAGACCUGUGAACGCGAUCUCCUCGGCUCUCCUGAACAACCUACUGGGGGCAUGAAAGCAGCAGGACUGGUCUUGGGAGAAGGCUGGCUCCAGUCCUGGGGGAUUUUCAGAUCGCUCAUGCUUCUGGGAAGCUCUUCAGGCCAGAGGAAGGAAAUCACUCAAGAGCUGGACAGUGCAGUGUGCGUCUGCCCAACCUGGACUCAUGCCCCGCGGCCCCUGCUUCCACCUCUCUGAGGACUCCUGCCUGCCCCGGCCAGAGUCACCUCAAUACAACACUAGCAACCUGGACUUUCCGAUCUCUGUUGCCCCUUAAAGCACCCUCGGGCACUUGGGGGGCUGGGGAGGC
rnacentral:lncRNA from 1 species